rnacentral:rRNA from 1 species
GACGAACGCUGGCGGCGUGCUUAACACAUGCAAGUCGAACGGAAAGGCCCUGCUUUUGUGGGGUGCGCGAGUGGCGAACGGGUGAGUAACACGUGAGUAACCUGCCCUUGACUUUGGGAUAACUUCAGGAAACUGGGGCUAAUACCGGAUAGGAGCUCCUGCUGCAUGGUGGGGGUUGGAAAGUUUCGGCGGUUGGGGAUGGACUCGCGGCUUAUCAGCUUGUUGGUGGGGUAGUGGCUUACCAAGGCUUUGACGGGUAGCCGGCCUGAGAGGGUGACCGGCCACAUUGGGACUGAGAUACGGCCCAGACUCCUACGGGAGCCAGCAGUGGGGAAUAUUGCACAAUGGGCGGAAGCCUGAUGCAGCAACGCCGCGUGCGGGAUGACGGCCUUCGGGUUGUAAACCGCUUUCGCCUGUGACGAAGCGUGAGUGACGGUAAUGGGUAAAGAAGCACCGGCUAACUACGUG